AGCAUCACCCAGGACACAGCAUCACCCAGACACAACAUCACCCAGGACACAGCAUCACCCGGACACAACAUCACCCAGGACACAGCAUCACCCGGACACAGCAUCACCCAGGAAACACACAAGAUGCCAUGGGGAGCGGGAUGGGGUGAUCAGUAACUUAACCCCAGCAUCAGCAAGUGUUCAUUUCCCCAACACAGCUCCUUGUCUGUCCAGGCAUAGAUUGCAGAAUCAUUCAAGAGUGUUCAGUGUAAAUGACUGUGGGUACAAGGAGUGCUGGAGCUGCAGGCUGGGAGCGUUGCAGUGAAGUGCACAAGGCACCAGCUCAGGGAUGCUCCCCUAGAAGCAAUGGGAAGGGCGAAAAUAUUCUCCCUCCUGAACAACCCUCCGUAUCCACCAUCCCCCUGUAUCCGUCCCCUGCGUGAUGGAGCCCAUCGCCACAGAGCUGCAGGAUCUGAUGAGACCACAAAGAAGAGAAGCCUGGUUGGUUGGCCUGCACCAAGCCCCAGUCAGACAAUCCCCUACCAGGUUCAGGCAACCAGACAGAGAAAUAACAGGCGUUUUGAAAUGGUAAUGACUGAUCUGAGACAGUCAAAUGACUCAGCCACACCUCUUGGAGGUUGCCAAAGUCAUGCAGGAGCAGGGAGCCCUGCCUGCUGCUCAACUCUGGGCAGGGAAUGUGCAGUGCAGGCAGGAGAGUGCUGGGAGCUCCUGCAGAUGGGAAUGGAGGGGCUGUGGAUGGAUGUUCAGGAUGCCAGCCACAGGCACACCCAGGCAGGAACCUGAGUGCUCAGCCCUGGAUGCAGAGACCAUCGCAGUAGCUCAGCAAGAUGGAUUUGUUGUGAGCGGCUGCCCAUUGGCACCCAACAUAACCAAUGCAAUUAAGAGAGCAGCAGAUAAGAUGCCCUACAACGUGAAACAUGGAUCUGAGCGAACAAAGGGAGAACGGCGAACACCGGGAGACGCAUCCGUAUUUCUCAAUCAAUGUCUCCUCCUGCCUCAAUUCCAAAUCCUUCUUUCAAGAUUGAAAACCUU